CCGCUGUCUCCUCGGGGGCCCAUGAUGGCGGCAGCGUGGAUGGAGGCGGCGCGGGUGUCUGUGACCUUCGAUGAUGUGGCUGUGACGUUUACCCAGGAGGAGUGGGGACAGCUGGACCCAGCUCAGCGGACCCUGUACCAGGAGGUGAUGCUGGAAAACGAGGGCUGCUGGUAUCUCUGGGGUGUCCGGUUCCCAGACCUGAGCUGAUCUGCCAGCUGGAGCACGGGGGGGAGCUGUGGAUGGUGCAGAAAGACCUCUCCCAAAGCACCUGUCCAGGCGAAAGAUACAGAUUAGAAGGGGGCCUGGAGGUAUUCCAACCGCGAAGCUUCCGUGUCUUCAGCAGCUCCUUACCUCCCAGGAUCGAUGUGUGGCCGUCUGUGCCCGAAGAGUCAUCAACCAGGGAAAUUCAGCAGAGCCUCGGUGACAGAGGGAAACCCAAGACCAGAGAACCUAGCCCUUGGGAGCCAGCCGUCCCUGAGGGAGCCUCCCUCCGGGAACCAACACAAGGAGGCCUAGGGGACCCUCAGUCGGGACGAACCAAGAAUCAGGGUGGGCCAUUGGUAGUGCAGGAAGGGCCCUUUGGACGAGGGAUAGCCUCCCAGAGGGGAAAGCUUCCUGGGAAAGUGAGUCCUGAACAUGGCCGCUCAGGGACAGCUGAUGGUGUGUGUUCACGGGGUGUGCAGGAGCCCUUCCCUCCAGGAGGAGCUGUCCCUGACCGUGACUCAGGUGGAUCGGGUAAAGAUGCCAUGAUCCAGGAAGAGGAAAAUAUCUUUAAGUGCAACGAAUGCGGGAAAGUGUUUAACAAGAAACACCUUCUUGCUGGGCAUGAAAAGAUUCACUCUGGGGUGAAGCCGUAUGAAUGCACGGAGUGUGGGAAAACGUUUAUUAAGAGCACGCACCUGCUCCAGCACCACAUGAUCCACACUGGGGAGAGGCCCUACGAGUGCAUGGAGUGCGGCAAGGCCUUCAACCGCAAGUCCUACCUCACCCAGCACCAGCGGAUCCACAGUGGAGAGAAGCCGUACAGGUGCAGUGAGUGCGGAAAGGCCUUCACCCACCGCUCCAAUUUUGUCUUACAUAAGAGGAGACACACCGGGGAGAAAUCCUUCGUGUGCAAAGAAUGUGGGCAGGUGUUCCGACAUAGGCCCGGAUUCCUUCGACAUCACAUCGUCCACAGCGGCGAGAAUCCGUACGAGUGCUUUGAGUGUGGCAAGGUCUUCAAACACAAGUCGUACCUCGUGUGGCACCAGCAGACACACACCGGGGAGAAGCCCUAUGAGUGCAGCGAGUGCGGCAAGGCCUUCUGUGAGAGCGCCGCCCUCAUUCACCACUACGUCAUCCACACCGGGGAGAAGCCCUUCGAGUGCCUCGAGUGCGGGAAGGCCUUCAACCACAGGUCCUACCUCAAGAGGCACCAGCGGAUUCACACCGGGGAGAAGCCUUUUGUGUGCACCGAGUGUGGAAGGGCCUUCACCCACUGCUCCACCUUCAUCUUGCAUAAAAGGGCCCACACUGGCGAGAAGCCCUUUGAGUGCAAAGAAUGUGGAAAAGCCUUUAGCACUCGGAAAGAUCUCAUUCGGCACUUCAGCGUCCACACUGGGGAGAAGCCCCAUGAGUGCACGGAGUGUGGGAAGGCCUUUAACCGCAGGUCAGGCCUGACAAGGCACCAGCGGAUUCACAGUGGCGAGAAGCCCUAUGAAUGCAUGGAGUGUGGGAAAUCCUUCUGCUGGAGCACCAACCUCAUUCGACACGCCAUCAUCCACACGGGAGAGAAGCCUUACAAGUGCAGUGAGUGUGGAAAGGCCUUCAGUCGCAGCUCCUCCCUCACUCAGCAUCAAAGGGUUCAUACUGGGCGAAACCCUGUCAGCGUGACAGAUGUGGGAAGACCCUUCCCAGGUGACCAAACCUCAGCCACCCUCCGAGAACUCCUGCUGGGAAAAGACUUUCUGAAUGUAAACCCCGAGGAGACUCUUUUGCAGGAGAAAACAUCUACCACAACGUCUGAUCGUACAUACCAAAGAGAAACCCCACAGGUAUCUUCACGAUGAGAGAACCUGUCACAGGUCAUCCAUCAGUUGUGUGAAGACGCAUUUGAGAGACUGGCACAGCGUCAAGCCUUAUUCUGCAUCUCAGAAUUCAUCGGUGAGGGAGAGACUGUUUGUUUAGCUACUGUUUUUCUCCUUAGUUUACACUGCAGUAUUAUCUCAGGAAUUUUUAUAAAGAGAAGGUGGAGACUUAGAAGAGAAAAUGUAUCGCAAACACAGUUUCUCUGAGACUCCUCUGUCAAGCUUUCGGCACUUUGUCAUGGAUUCCUUAGUUUACUUGGGGUGAAGGGGGUGUUAUUUCAGAGGCAAAGGGCCUUGAUCCUUCCUGUGUCUUGUGCGUAUACAGUCAUUGCUGUCCGGUGUCUGGAGAGUUAGAUGGUUGGGGGCAGGUAUUUACGCAGCUAAGGAUGCACAUAGGACAGAUGGGCCCAUUUUAUCAUGCCGGUUAAGGCUUUUCAGGCUUUAGUUUUUUGGAAGAACCCGGCUGUUCUUUUGGUGGCUUUAACCACUACGCAUUCAGUCUUUUUAUUGAUCCAGUGUAUUGUGUACUUAAUUUAUAUAGCUAUACAGUAAAAUUUAAAAUUGGGUAAAAUGAGGGAGUUCCUGUUGUGGUGCAGGAGAAGUGAAUCCACCUAGUAUCCGUGAGGAUGUGGGUUUGAUCCUUGGCCUCUCUCAGUGGGUUAAGAUCCGGUGUUGCCAUGAGCUGUGCUGUAGGUCGCAGACAUGGGUUAGAUCCUACAUUGCUGUGGCUGUGGCUGGCAGCUACAGAUCUUAGGAUGCAAAAAAAUCUUGCCCACAUAUUUAUCAAAAUCGAUGUAAACCUGUAGAGCAGUUUCAGAAGUAGCACCAUGAACACAUUACAUGAUAUGACCCUUCAUUUAUUUAAUUUUUUCCUUUCCUGCUCCUUUUUAUGGCUGCACCUGUGGCAUGUGGGAGUUCCUGGGCUAGGGAUGAGUCGGACCUGCAGAUAUAAUCUAUACAACUUGAGAUCCAAGCUGCAUAUGCAGCCUACAGUGCAGCACAUAGCAACACCAGCACAUAGCAACACUGAGUGAGGCCAGGAGUGAAACCUGAAUCCACAUGGGGACUAGUCGGGUUCUUAACUUGCUGAGAGCCACAGUGGGAACUCCUAUUUAAGUAAUUAUUGAUAGUUCCUUAGCAUUUUAUAAAUUUCAACAGUACAGGUUUUAUACAUUUUUGUUAUUAUUUAUGUCUAAGCAGUUGGUGGGGUUUUUUUCCAUGUGAUUUUUCAGAUGACAUAAACUUUCAAUUUCCAUGUGAUCUUUAGUAGUAUUCCGAAAGAUAAUUGUUCCUGGAGUAAUAUUUCAGUAUCUUGCACUCACGACUGAACUCAGUUCUUAUUGUUUCUAGCCAUUUCUUUGGAUAGAAUCCUUGGCAUUUCUGUGUAGAAAUGGCAACCGCAAAUUAGUUUUAUUUCCUUUUUUUUUUUCUUUUUUUUUUUUCUGUCUUCUUCCAGCUGCACCUGUGGCAUAUGGAGUUUCCCAAGCUAGGGGUGGAAUUGGGGCUGUAGCUGCUGGCCUACACCACAGCCACAGCCGCACCAGAUCUGAGCUGCAUCUUCAAACUACGCUAAAGCUCAUGGCAGCACUGGAUCCUUAACCCACCGAGAGAGGCCAGGGAGUGAAUCUGCGUCCUCAUGGAUACUAGUCAGAUUCAUUUCCACUGAGCCAUGACGGGAACUCCAAAUUAGUUUUAUUUCUUCCUGUCUCUGCACUUGUUAUUUCACUGCAUUAGCUAGGACUUCCAGUAUGUUGAAUCAGAGUAAUAAAGGAUAUCCUUGUCUGGUUCCUGAUGUUAGAGGGAACACGUUCAGUUUUUCAUUAAGUGCAAUGUUAGGUGUAAGGUUCUUUUUCCAUAGAGUUUUCCAACAAGUCUAGAAAGUUUCCCUCUGUUCUUAAUUUGCUGAGAUUUUUGUUAUGGUGAAUGAGUGUUGAGUUUUGUCAAAUGCUUUAUCUCCGGUUGACAUGAUCAUCUUGAGUUUUCUUCAGUAUCUUAAUUGAUGUGAUGUAGUGCACUGAGUUUUGCAUAUUGAACCAGCCUUGCAUCCUUGAAAUAAACCCCACUUGGCUGUGGAAUAUAAGUUUUUUAUAUACAUAUUAUAUUAAAGCAUUCCAUUUGAUUUAUAGUUUUUGAGCAAUUUUUCCUCUAAUCCCUUGAUUGAUGAUGAAUAGUUCUUAGUAUUUGUUUGCUUGUUUUUAACUACUUUCAUUGUGUGGUUAUGGUGUCAAGUAGUUGCUUCCCAAGUUGAGUUGGGAGGGAUUGUUCUCUUCUAUUUUGCAGGAAGACUGUGUGUAAUUGUUUUUAAUUGUUGUUUUGAUGUUUUUUGGCAUUCUCCAGUGAACCAUUUGUGCCUGGAGAUGUUCUGGAUACUUUUAAAAUUACAUAUUACCUGAUAAAUAUGCAGUUAUUCAGAGUAUCUUUUUCAUAUUGGAUGAAUUGGAUAGUUGGUCCUUUUUGAGGAAAUUUUUUUUUUUGUUUCUGUUUGUUUCUCUUUUCUAGGGCCAUACUCGUGGCAUACGGAGGUUCUCAGGCUAGAGGUCCAAUCGGAGCUAUAGUCGCUGGCCUACGCCACAGCCACAGCAACUCGGGAUCUGAGCCGCGUCUGUGACCUACACCACAGCUCACGGCAACGCCAGAUCCCCAACCCACUGAGCGAGGCCAGGGAUCAAACUUGCAACCUCAUGGUUCCUAAUCGGAUAUGUUAAACACUGAGCCAUGACGGAAACUCCGAGAGGAAAUGUUUUAUUUUGUGUAAGUUUUCUAAUUUGUUUCUUGACUUGUUGAAAGUAUUCCCUUAUUACCCUCACCCCUGCCAGCCUCCUCCAUGGCAUAUGGAUGGACGUACCUGUGCCAGGGAUCAAAUCCACAUCCAGGGAACUGCCAUAGCUUCAGCAACUGGGAUCUUUAAUCCACACCAAUGGGCCAGUUGGUCGAUCCCGCACCACUACAGAGACCACACCAGAUCAUUAACUCCUUUAUUAUCUUUUUGAUGGCAACGGGUCUGUACUUUUAUCCCAUUUUAUUCCUGAUUUUGGAAAUAGGUCAACUCUCUUGUUAUUUCACUUAUUUACUUAUUUAUUUUGUCUGGGGCAUAUGGAUGUUCCCAGGCUAGCAUCCAGCCUAAGGCACAGACACAGCAAUUUGGGAUCUGAGCAACAUCUGUAAACUACACCACAACUCAUGGCGACGGCUGAUCCUUAAUGCACUGAUCAGGACCAGGGAUUGAACCCGUGUCAUCAUGGACACUAGUUGGGUUGGUUACUGCCAAGCCACAACAGGAAUUCCUCAACUAUCUUUUUUUUUUUUUUUUUUAAAUGAUUGCCGAUAAUGGAUUAUUUAUUUAUUUAUUUAUUUAUUUUUUUGUCUUUUUGCUAUUUCUUGGGCCGCUCCCGCGGCAUAUGGAGGUUCCCAGGCUAGGGGUCUAAUCGGAGCUGUGGCCACUGGCCUACUCCAGAGCCACAGCAACGCGGGAUCCGAGCCACGUCUGCAACCUACACCACAGCUCACGGCAACGCCGGAUCCUUAACCCUCUGAGCAAGGGCAGGGACCGAACCUGCAACCUCAUGGUUCCUAGUCGGAUUCGUUAACCACUGCGCCACCACAGGAACUCCUCAACUAUCUUUUUUAAUCAUUGUCAAUCUUCUUAGACAUUUAUUGAUAUUACUGAUUAUCCUAAAGAAACAGCACUUUAUUUUGAUUUUUCUCUAUUUUCUUUUUUUGUAGUUACCUUUGUUCCUGAUAUAUUAAUGUUUUUAAUUAAAGUAUAGUUCCUUUAUAAUAUUGUGCCAGUGUCUGCUGUACAGCUGCUUUACUCUUUUUAAUAACACUGAUUUCUUUUCUGAUCUUUAUGAUAUUCUGUCUUCUAUUUUGCUUCGGUUGUAUUUUGCUUUUUUUAUUUUUUGAGGGGUGCUGAGAUUAUUGAUGUAUUUUUUUUAGCACUGUUCCAGCUUUAUACCACAAAUUUUAAUUACAAUUUAUUCAAUUUUUAA